rnacentral:antisense_RNA from 1 species
AGGUAGGCUCUCUAGGAAUCUGGGAGUAGUAGCUGGGGGGCAAGAGCAAAUAAAGAGCUCGGGCUUCUGUGGUCUCUGGGGAGAUGUUCCCGGGAAGCCUGGCUAGAGGGCGGAGGGCAGCUGUUGAGAUGGCGUGGCUUUCGCGGCGGGCGCUGCGGCCCGGUGUUGGACAGCCUGGCAGGGCAGCGCGGGGCCGAAUCCGGCUGCCGUGGCUGAGGCUCAUGGAUCACUCUUUUGUGGUAGGGCCACAUCUGCCAGAGCCUGGAGUCUGCGAAGGCCGGGACCCGGUUCCCCGGCCCACCGUGGGGGGGGGUGUGCAAACCCGAGAGAACUGGGUUGCAAAUUCGUGAAGAAUCAGCAUCAUGUUUGGCAGCUGAGUAUUGGAGCCAGGAGCCUGCCAUGAGGUUAUAUUCCCAGAGGAUGUCAGUCCCAAGGACCAGUAGCUGCCAUCAGUUUGGAUUCUGAAAACUAACCGGCAUCAACACUGGGUGUAGAAACAUGCUUGCCUUAUGUAUCAGAGGACAUGCUCAGCAGAUCCAAGAGAUAUAUUUGGCAACUUUUUCUAGAAAAGGCACAUUGGGUAUCAUUCAUUACAUUCUUGAGUUUUUUUGGUUUUUUUUUUUUUUUUUUUUUGAGACAGUCUUGCUGUAUUGCCCAGGCUGGAGUGUGGUGGCACAAUCACAGCUCAUUGCAUCCUCAAUCACCCAGGCCUAAGCAAUCCUCCCACCUUGUAGCUGGGACUAUAGCUCACAGCACACCUGGCUAAAAUUUUUUUUUUGUUAAGACGGAUUCUCUAUGUUGCCCAGGCUGGUCUCAGGCUCCUGGGCUCAGAUGGUCCUCCUGCCUCAGCUUCCAAAGGCACAGGCCAAGUUGUAGCUUUGUCCCUUGCCAUCAUGCCCAACAAGAGGUUCUAUACCUUUUAAUGAAUUGACUUUCAUAAAUUGGUUAUGUUGGUGGGCAAGUUCUUUAAGCUGGAAAUUGUAAAUUCCUCCUGAAAUGUUUUUUCAUGCAGUUACCAUGAACUAAUACUACAAUAAA